UGUUAAAAUUUUUAUCAAUUUGUACUAUUAAAAAUUGGUGUUGCAGAUAGAAUAAUCAGAUAGUGACAUGUGGUGUGCCAUGUGUACUUCAUGUUGAUGUACAGAUAUCAGUUUUUAAUAGUAGAAAUAGAAUGAAUUUUUAACA
rfam:Gossypium arboreum cultivar AKA8401 contig_15070_1, whole genome shotgun sequence.